UCAUUCGGAUUCGCCAUCAUACGUCCAACCAUGCAUUUGAUAUGCAUAUCUAUGCAUCACGAGCCACGGUUGGGCUGUAUGAUGGCGAUACCGAUUGG
rnacentral:pre_miRNA from 1 species